rnacentral:rRNA from 1 species
UAAGACAGAGGAGCCAAGCGUUGUCCGGACUGACUGGGCGUAAAGGGCACGCAGGCGGUGCGGUAAGUGGGGUGUGAAAGCAGUCGGCUCAACCGGCUGAGGCCAUGCCAGACUGCCGCACUCGAGCACUGCAGAGGGUGGUGGAAUUGCCGGUGUAGUGGUGAAAUGCGUAGAGAUCGGCAGGAACACCAAGGGGGAAGCCAGCCACCUGGGCAGUUGCUGACGCUGAGGUGCGAAAGCGUGGGGAGCGAACUGGAUUAGAUACCCAGGUAGUCCACGCCGUAAACGAUGGACGCUCGGCAUGUGCGCGCUAUCAACGCGCGUGGGUGCCUUAGCUAACGCGGUAAGCGUCCCGCCUGGGAACUACGAGCGCAAGCUUA